rnacentral:lncRNA from 1 species
ACCCAUUCUUCAUUUAAAUCCAACCCAAAUUAACCCUUACCCAACCCCAAAUCAGGUCGACCCAACUCAAUCCAAUACCCAAAUCCACCCUAACCUAAAAACCUAUACACACAAUCUAUACAGAAGGAAAACAGAGGAGGCUGGAAAAUUGAAGAAGCUGUGCAUCUUUGCUUUUUUCUUCACAAAAACACACACACAAUACACGAUAGAAAAAAAACACACGGAGAGACACCUGGGAAUUGGGGGAAGAGCUGGCGGCUAGCUUCUUCACAAAAAAAAAAAAACACAAUAUAAUACACACAAUCUAUAGGCAGAGAUAGGGGUGUGCAUUCGAAUCGGUUUAUCGAUAAAUCGACUCGAUUAUUUGUUAUCGAAAUCGAAAAAAUCAAAAUCGAAAAAAUCGAAACCUUAUUGAAUCUAUAGUGNNNNNNNNNNNNNNNNNNNNNNNNNNNNNNAAAAAUCAAAAUCGAAAAAAUCGAAACCUUAUUGAAACGAUAACGAUAAGCAUAUGUACAAAUCGAUAAUCGAUAAGUAGUUAUCGAUAAGGGUCAAAAUAGAAUCGAUAAAUCGAAUGCACACCCCUAGGCAGAGAUGCUGGAAGAAGGGCUGGCGGCUGGGCUUCUUCUGAAAAUAUACGUCUAUACACACACCCCUUCUCACGUCUUCAUCUUCCUCCUUCAGUGUUGCUACACAUACGAGAACCCACCCCCUCGGUCAGCCUUCUCCAACAUCAGCGGCUAUGUGACCUUCACAACUCUCAACCAGGAAACGACCCCUGUUGUCCAACGUCUUCAGCAGUCCCUCCCUGUCGCAGUCACGACAGCUCACUUCCCUUCACACGUCGUCGUUUCUGCUUCUUCUCGUUCAUAACAGCUCGCCGGAAAAUGAGCUGAAACGACCUCCAAAAUCAACCUAGACAACCUGCUUCUGCCCCGUUCUAACGCAGUCAGCGUUCUGUCCGUUUUCGAGUUUGCCGGCGAGUUUUGAUACUCCGUCUGAGGGCUGGUUUAUGGUCUUGUCCGUCCCUGUUUAUUCAAGUUAUUAAAAAUCAAGUUCUUUUGGAUGAAGAAAAGUUGAAGUUUAAAGAGGUCAGGUUCUAACUUUAAAAGUUGAAUUGUUUUGUUUGAUUCGUUUCCGUCUGCUGCUUGUUUGCGAUUCCUGCUCAGUUUUGCUAUAAAUGUAUAGAUGUGGAACUAUAUAACUGAGUUGCUCAAGAUAUGUAUCCAUUUAGGUAGGAUUUUUAUGCUCGUCGAUUGACUUUUUCACAAAUUGAGUUUAGGAGAAUGUCCAUUUUAAAGUUUUAUUUUUCUAGUUAUAAAUUAAUAUUUAUAUCGUAUCAUUUUAACUAGUGUCAGCCUACUGUCUAAUG